rnacentral:ncRNA from 2 species
AAAUUAUCAAGAGCAUACGUGUGGGAACUGGCCCAAUAAGCGUAUCAGCAACCCUUAAACAAUGACCUGUUUAAGAAGGUGCUAAUUCCAGACCCAAAUCAGAGAAAGAUAAAAG